UACAUAAAUUUUUCACAUCCGUCAAAAAAAUCAACAUUUAAUUGAGAUUCAAACCAAUCUGGGGAUAAAACAUAGGUCAGUGAUUAGACUCAGUGACACUAGAUGGAACUACCGCUAUAGAAAUAUAGAGUGUGUUAAAGCAAGUUAUAAAGCAAUUAUUCAAGCUUUAGAAGAAGAAAUCGAAAAUGAAGAUGAUAGAGGAGUAAACGAAGCAAUUGGAAUAUUAGCAAAUUUAAAAAGUGGACCAUUUAUAGUUUAUUUAUUUAUCUUACAUAAAGUAUUAAUUCAUAUUAAUAUCGUUACCAACAAAUUUCAAGAAAAAACUGCAACCUUAGGUCAAUCUAAAAAUAUUAUUCAAGGUGUGAUGAUGAUUUUUUAAAUUUUAAGAACAACAGAAUAUUUUUCUCAGCUUUGGUGUGAAAUAGAAACCUUUGCUAAAGAUCAUGACAUAUCAAUACAAACACCAUCUAAAGGAUGUAAAAGAAAAAGACAAGAGCCAACAAUUUUUAAAAAUUUUGAUGUCACUGCAACCACAAGUGCUGAACAUAGUAUCAAUGAAACUAAUGAAACCACUGAAGGUUAUUUCAAAAAAAAAUGCUUUCUUUCCUGUAUUUGAUGCUAUCUUGGUAAAUCUGGAAAAA